rnacentral:rRNA from 1 species
GCGAACGCUGGCGGCAGGCUUAACACAUGCAAGUCGAGCGCUCGUAGCAAUACGAGAGCGGCAGACGGGAGAGUAACACGUGGGAACGUACCCUUUGGUUCGGAACAACCCAGGGAAACUUGGGCUAAUACCGGAUAAGUCCGCAAGGAAAAAGAUUUAUCGCCGAAGGAUCGGCCCGCGUCUGAUUAGCUUGUUGGUGAGGUAACGGCUCACCAAGGCGACGAUCAGUAGCUGGUCUGAGAGGAUGAUCAGCCUCACUGGGACUGAGACACGGCCCAGACUCCUACGGGAGGCAGCAGUGGGGAAUAUUGGACAAUGGGCGCAAGCCUGAUCCAGCCAUGCCGCGUGGGUGAUGAAGGCCCUAGGGUUGUAAAGCCCUUUCGGCGGGGAAGAUACUGACGGUACCCGCAGAAGAAGCCCCGGCUAACUUCGU